UACGGAGGGUGCAAGCGUUGUUCGGAAUCACUGGGCGUAAAGCGCGUGUAGGCGGUUCGGUAAGUCGGCUGUGAAAGUCCAGGGCUCAACCCUGGGAUGCCGGUCGAUACUGCCGGACUAGAGUUCGGAAGAGGCGAGUGGAAUUCCCGGUGUAGCGGUGAAAUGCGCAGAUAUCGGGAGGAACACCAAUGGCGAAGGCAGCUCGCUGGGACGUUACUGACGCUGAGACGCGAAAGCGUGGGGAGCAAACAGG
rnacentral:rRNA from 1 species